rnacentral:misc_RNA from 1 species
GCGUCAUUUCAAACCUCAAGCUCACGCUUGGUAUUGGGCGUCGUCCGCCAGGACGUGCCAGAACCCGUAGGCAGCGGUGCCCGUCUCCCAGCGUAGUCAAGUUACCCGCUUCGGAGCGCGCGGCGCCGCCCGCCGGACGAACAAUCCACUAUUUUCUAUGGUUUGACCUCGGAUCAGGUAGGGAUACCCGCUGAACUUAA